CAAUAGCGUAUAUUUAAGUUGUUGCAGUUAAAAAGCUCGUAGUCGGAUUUUGGCUGAGAACGGACGGUCCGCCGUUAGGUGUGCACUGUUUGGUCUCAGCUUCCUGGUGAGGAGGUGUGCUUCACGGCCACUUAGUCACCGUGGUUACUUUGAAAAAAUUAGAGUGUUCAAAGCGGGCUUACGCUUGAAUAUAUUAGCAUGGAAUAACACCAUAGGACUCCUGUCCUAUUUCGUUGGUCUCGGGACGGGAGUAAUGAUUAAGAGGAACAGUUGGGGGCAUUCGUAUUUCAUUGUCAGAGGUGAAAUUCUUGGAUUUAUGAAAGACGAACUUCUGCGAAAGCAUUUGCCAAGGAUGUUUUCAUUGA
rnacentral:rRNA from 1 species